UUAGAGAUAGAAAGUUACUUCGGUACAUCGGUGACAGGUGGUGCAUGGUUGUCGUCAGCUCGUGUCGUGAGAUGUUGGGUUAAGUCCCGCAACGAGCGCAACCCCUAUUGUUAGUUGCCAUCAUUCAGUUGGGCACUCUAGCGAGACUGCCGGUAAUAAACCGGAGGAAGGUGGGGAUGACGUCAAAUCAUCAUGCCCCUUAUGACCUGGGCUACACACGUGCUACAAUGGCCGGUACAAAGGGCAGCGACACAGCGAUGUGAAGCCAAUCCCGAAAAGCCGGUCUCAGUCCGGAUUGGAGUCUGCAACUCGACUCCAUGAAGUUGGAAUCGCUAGUAAUCGCGGAUCAGCACGCCGCGGUGAAUACGUUCCCGGGCCUU
rnacentral:rRNA from 1 species